GAUGAACGCUGGCGGCGUGCUUAACACAUGCAAGUCGAACGGAAAGGCCCAAGCUUGCUUGGGUACUCGAGUGGCGAACGGGUGAGUAACACAUGGGUGAUCUGCCCUGCACUUCGGGAUAAGCCUGGGAAACUGGGUCUAAUACCGGAUAGGACCACUUCUUGGAUGUUGUGGUGGAAAGUUUUUUCGGUGUGGGAUGAGCUCGCGGCCUAUCAGCUUGUUGGUGGGGUAAUGGCCUACCAAGGCGUCGACGGGUAGCCGGCCUGAGAGGGUGUACGGCCACAUUGGGACUGAGAUACGGCCCAGACUCCUACGGGAGGCAGCAGUGGGGAAUAUUGCACAAUGGGCGCAAGCCUGAUGCAGCGACGCCGCGUGGGGGAUGACGGCCUUCGGGUUGUAAACUCCUUUCGCUAGGGACGAAGCGUUUUGUGACGGUACCUGGAGAAGAAGCACCGGCUAACUACGUG
rnacentral:rRNA from 1 species